AAUAAAAAUAUAUACAAUCAUUAAAGCGUACAAUUUAAUCCAUUUUCCAUACCGUCAAAUUGAAUAUAAAUAACGGAUAAAUUACGAUAAUGUUACUUCAUCAUGUUUUUCAAUUAUUUUUUCAUAAUCACAAAACCGUAAGUUUUUCCCUCCCAUCCGGAUUUCCGUGGUUUUGAAUUACAUUAAAAACGAGUUUCUCGAAACCAAGUCAUAACGUUAAGAACAUUUUACCACCUCCAAGUUG